AGUCAUCUCCAACUGCUUCGCUUGACGUCCAGCGAAGUCAUACCAAAGCCCGCCGACAUCCGACAAAGCCACGCCCAUCUGCUCCUAUCGACGUCGGAAGAAGUGACGACAAAGCACUUCUGGGUUGAAUCAUCAGACUUGACAUAAAACUAUGGCAUACAAAAAGUUGAGUGACUUAACUACAAGGGGACAGAACUGGAACAUUCAAGUGAAAGUAAUGAGGAUUUGGGAUUCAGUUAAUCCUACUACCGAUGAGCUUAUUAGCCUAGAUAUGAUACUCAUGGAUGAGCAGGGUGAAACAAUUCAUGCUACUAUAUGGAAGAAUCUAAUAGACACUUUUAAAUCAAAGAUCAAUGAGAAGUCUAUUUAUGGAUUCAGUAAUUUUAAGGUUGUGGAAUCCACAAAAUAUAGGCCAGUGA